rnacentral:lncRNA from 1 species
CUGACGCUCUGCUGUGCAUGCCCCCUCCCCACUAAUGUGACUGUUUGAGAGAUGGCGGAUUCGAAUGUGUCUGUGCAGUUCAAGGUGGGACUGGGUGAGAAAGUGAGUGUGGUAAGUGUAAGCCUUUUGGAUGGCUUGGAUGGGACAGGGAUCCUGGAGCUCGAGAGUCACAGAAUACUAAGUGUUACACAGCUCAGUUGGAAAGGUGUCCUGGAGCUGGGGAGCCAAGGAAUACCACAGGUCACAGUGAGCACAGCAGCUUACAGCCCUGUUUCAAGGGGGGUGGGGCGGCUUCUUCCCCAGUGUAUCAGAUCUGCUCGCCAGAAAAGGGCUUCUCCUGCGAAGUUGUUUUGCUCCAGUCCCCUGGAGUGUAACAACUCUGCUCUGUCAAGGGAGCAAAAGAAGGUCUUCACCCAAAGCUCCUUCAGGGAUUUUAUUCUUAACACAAUAAUGUGGGAACACAGGGUUUAUAUAGUUUAUAUAGUUUUUCCAGGUGGAGGGGAUUGGUCAAAUUUGAAUCCCUGCACUGAUUGGCUAGCUCUCCUGUUCAGGGAUUGGUUAGUUUUCUGCAGAGGUUUAGGGUCAGAUUGGACUCUAGUUUCAGGGCCAAAAUGUGUUUCUUUUACUGGUCUUUUUGGCUUUUUGGCUGUAGUUUUAGGGCCAGGGUGUAUUUCUUUCACUGGCUCUGAUUCUAGGGACAAAUUGUGUUUCUUUGGCACUGGUUUCAGAGUCAGGGACAUUUCUUUGGUUCUGGUUGCUGGGUCAAGGUGUGUUUCUUUGGCUCUGCUCAGUGUGUGUUUCUUUGGCUAGAUCCUUUUCCCUACAGGGAGAUCACGGGUCUGAUGGGCUGGGACCUACUUUGUGAUUACAAGGUGUAGAGAAAUUAAAUUUACUUGACCAAGAGUGGUAGAAACAUAAGCUCUUUGGCUCUAGACUUCUUUUUUUUUUUAAAGCUUUCUAAUCAAAUCUUUUUAUUUUAUGUGUAUGAGUAUUUUACCCAGAAUGUUCGUCUGUCUAUCAUUUGAAUGUCUAGUACCCUGGGAGACCAGAAAAGGG